UGCUAUACAUGCAGUCGAGCGGACAGAAGGGAGCUUGCUCCCGGAUGUUAGCGGCGGACGGGUGAGUAACACGUGGGUAACCUGCCUGUAAGACUGGGAUAACUCCGGGAAACCGGAGCUAAUACCGGAUAGUUCCUUGAACCGCAUGGUUCAAGGAUGAAAGACGGUUUCGGCUGUCACUUACAGAUGGACCCGCGGCGCAUUAGCUAGUUGGUGGGGUAAUGGCUCACCAAGGCGACGAUGCGUAGCCGACCUGAGAGGGUGAUCGGCCACACUGGGACUGAGACACGGCCCAGACUCCUACGGGAGGCAGCAGUAGGGAAUCUUCCGCAAUGGACGAAAGUCUGACGGAGCAACGCCGCGUGAGUGAUGAAGGUUUUCGGAUCGUAAAGCUCUGUUGUUAGGGAAGAACAAGUGCGAGAGUAACUGCUCGCACCUUGACGGUACCUAACCAGAAAGCCACGGCUAACUACGUGCCAGCAGCCGCGGUAAUACGUAGGUGGCAAGCGUUGUCCGGAAUUAUUGGGCGUAAAGGGCUCGCAGGCGGUUUCUUAAGUCUGAUGUGAAAGCCCCCGGCUCAACCGGGGAGGGUCAUUGGAAACUGGGAAACUUGAGUGCAGAAGAGGAGAGUGGAAUUCCACGUGUAGCGGUGAAAUGCGUAGAGAUGUGGAGGAACACCAGUGGCGAAGGCGACUCUCUGGUCUGUAACUGACGCUGAGGAGCGAAAGCGUGGGGAGCGAACAGGAUUAGAUACCCUGGUAGUCCACGCCGUAAACGAUGAGUGCUAAGUGUUAGGGGGUUUCCGCCCCUUAGUGCUGCAGCUAACGCAUUAAGCACUCCGCCUGGG
rnacentral:rRNA from 1 species